GACGAACGCGGCGGCGUGCCUAAUACAUGCAAGUAGAACGCUGAAGCUUGGUGCUUGCACCGAGCGGAUGAGUUGCGAACGGGUGAGUAACGCGUAGGUAACCUGCCUGGUAGCGGGGGAUAACUAUUGGAAACGAUAGCUAAUACCGCAUAAUAGCAGUUGUUGCAUGACAACUGUUUAAAAGGUGCAAUUGCAUCACUACCAGAUGGACCUGCGUUGUAUUAGCUAGUUGGUGGGGUAACGGCUCACCAAGGCGACGAUACAUAGCCGACCUGAGAGGGUGAUCGGCCACACUGGGACUGAGACACGGCCCAGACUCCUACGGGAGGCAGCAGUAGGGAAUCUUCGGCAAUGGACGGAAGUCUGACCGAGCAACGCCGCGUGAGUGAAGAAGGUUUUCGGAUCGUAAAGCUCUGUUGUAAGAGAAAGAAACGAGUGUGAGAAGUGGAAAAGUUCCACCACUGGG
rnacentral:rRNA from 1 species